AAGAUAGGAAUGGUUAAGGGAGGGGGGGAGGGAGAACAAGAAGAGGGCUACAUCUUGCCAUGUGUAACUGGGCUGCCUGUGUGAAUCACUGUGAAAUACUAGAGCUUCAUUCCAUUCGUGAUGACUAAAUGGCUCUGCAAUGCUAGACAUUUUGUCUGUCCAGUGCCCAGUGGGACAGCUGUCUGCAGAUACCGCGCUGUAUCGUAACUGACUUUCACAUGAGCCAGAGACACCAGGAAAAGGACAAGUGACCCAAUGCCGUUCUCAGCGUAUCAUCAUCUUUGAUACCAUUGACCUACAACUCCCAUCAUCUCUUGCUGUUGGCGUUCAAUACAGCUGAUGAGCACAACACUCAGAGGUCCACAAGUAAUCCAACCCCUGAACUGGUUCACACUACAGAAGUAUGGCACUAUGAUUCUACUUUGUUUCCAUCCAAUGAAAUCCUGGAAUUUACAGUUCAUAAAGGCACAUUUGAAAUUCUCAGCCAGAGAGAUCUAGUAUCCCCCAACUAUAAACAUCAGCAUACAAUAGGAUGGAACCAUAGCAGUUAAAGUAGAAUAAUAAUGUAGUGAGAAAGGCUCACCUUGCCGAGACUCGAGGAACUGUUUUGCUUGGAGCCUCCAUAGAUGGAAAGAGAAGAAAAAACUAAUGGACAUGAAUCACCUCUUACUCCUAAAGAAAAGCUCACUUUCUCAUGUUCAAAAGAAGCUGGUAUUUUGAUAUUUAUUUAUGCAGGUGUACAUCUUCUCUCAGCAAAUGUAAUUUCUAAUAAAAAGCUAAUUUUAUUUUA